UACGAAGGGGGCUAGCGUUGCUCGGAAUCACUGGGCGUAAAGCGCACGUAGGCGGCUUUUUAAGUCGGGGGUGAAAGCCUGUGGCUCAACCACAGAAUGGCCUUCGAUACUGGGACGCUUGAGUAUGGUAGAGGUUGGUGGAACUGCGAGUGUAGAGGUGAAAUUCGUAGAUAUUCGCAAGAACACCGGUGGCGAAGGCGGCCAACUGGACCAUUACUGACGCUGAGGCGCGAAAGCGUGGGGAGC
rnacentral:rRNA from 1 species